rnacentral:rRNA from 1 species
GUGUCAGCCGCCGCGGUAAUACAGAGACUGCAAGCGUUAUUCGGAUUCACUGGGCGUAAAGGGUGCGCAGGCGGUUAUGUGUGUUAGAUGUGAAAGCCCGAGGCUCAACCUCGGAAUUGCGUCUAAAACUACAUGACUAGAGUACCGGAGAGGAUAGCGGAAUUCACGGUGUAGCAGUGAAAUGCGUAGAUAUCGUGAAGAACACCAGCGGCGAAGGCGGCUAUCUGGAAGGUUACUGACGCUCAGGCACGAAAGCGUGGGGAGCAAAAGGGAUUAGAAACCCGCGUAGUCC